CGGCUAUCACUUUAGGAUGGACCCGCGGUGCAUUAGUUAGUUGGUGAGGUAAAGGCUCACCAAGACCGUGAUGCAUAGCCGACCUGAGAGGGUAAUCGGCCACACUGGGACUGAGACACGGCCCAGACUCCUACGGGAGGCAGCAGUAGGGAAUCUUCCACAAUGGACGAAAGUCUGAUGGAGCAACGCCGCGUGAGUGAAGAAGGUUUUUCGGAUCGUAAAACUCUGUUGUUGGAGAAGAACGUAUUUGAUAGUAACUGAUCAGGUAGUGACGGUAUCCAACCAGAAAGCCACGGCUAACUACGUG
rnacentral:rRNA from 1 species